ACGACCAUAGCUCAGUUGGUUAGAGCACCACCUUGACAUGGUGGGGGUCGGUGGUUCGAGUCCACUUGGUCGUACCA
rnacentral:tRNA from 3 species